GACGAACCGUGCGAACGUUGUUCGGAAUCACUGGGCAUAAAGGGCGCGUAGGCGGCUUUUCAAGUCAGGGGUGAAAUCCGGCAGCUCAACUGUCGAAGUGCCCUUGAUACUGAUGAGCUCGAGGGAGGUAGGGGUGUGUGGAACUUCCGGUGGAGCGGUGAAAUGCGUUGAUAUCGGAAGGAACGCCGGUGGCGAAAGCGACGCACUGGACCUCUUCCGACGCUGAGGCGCGAAAGCUAGGGGAGCAAACGGG
rnacentral:rRNA from 1 species